UGAAUCUUUAAAUGGCUAGAAUUUUACGUA
rnacentral:piRNA from 1 species